AUGAACGCUGGCGGCGUGCUUAACACAUGCAAGUCGAACGGUGAAGCUCAGCUUGCUGGGUGGAUCAGUGGCGAACGGGUGAGUAACACGUGAGCAACCUGCCCCGGACUCUGGGAUAAGCGCUGGAAACGGCGUCUAAUACUGGAUAUGAACCGCAGCCGCAUGGCUAGUGGUUGGAAAGAUUUUUCGGUCUGGGAUGGGCUCGCGGCCUAUCAGCUUGUUGGUGAGGUAAUGGCUCACCAAGGCGUCGACGGGUAGCCGGCCUGAGAGGGUGACCGGCCACACUGGGACUGAGACACGGCCCAGACUCCUACGGGAGGCAGCAGUGGGGAAUAUUGCACAAUGGGCGGAAGCCUGAUGCAGCAACGCCGCGUGAGGGAUGACGGCCUUCGGGUUGUAAACCUCUUUUAGCAAGGAAGAAGCGAAAGUGACGGUACUUGCAGAAAAAGCGCCGGCUAACUACGU
rnacentral:rRNA from 1 species